GAUGAACGCUAGCGGCAGGCCUAGUACAUGCAAGUCGAACGGUGUCUUCGGACAUAGUGGCGCACGGGUGCGUAACACGUAUGCAACCUACCUUACAUUGGGGGAUAGCCUUUCGAAAGGGAGAUUAAUACCGCAUAAGACAGUAGCUGGGCAUCCAGCAGCUGUUAAAGAUUUAUCGAUGUAAGCUGGGCAUGCGUCCAAUUAGCUAGUUGGUGAGGUAACGGCUCACCAAGGCAAUGAUUGGUAGGGGAACUGAGAGGUCAAUCCCCCACACUGGCACGGAGAUACGGGCCAGACUCCUACGGGAGGCAGCAGUAGGGAAUAUUGGGCAAUGGACGCAAGUCUGACCCAGCCAUGCCGCGUGCAGGAUGAAGGCGUUAUGCGUUGUAAACUGCUUUUAUACAGGAAGAAACGACUCUUGCGAGAGGCAUUGACGGUACUGUAUGAAUAAGCACCGGCUAACUCCGUGCCAGCAGCCGCAGUAAGAC
rnacentral:rRNA from 1 species